rnacentral:lncRNA from 1 species
GGUGGGGCCAGAUAAGGGAAGCAGGCCUCCGAAGCCAGCAGUGGCAACCCACUUGGGUCCCUUUCAAUGCUGUGGAAGCGUUGUUCUUUCACUCUUCUCAAUAAAUCUUGCUGCUGCUCACUCUUUGGGUCUGCCCCGCUGUUAUGAGCUGUAACACUCACAGCCAGUGUCUGCAGUUUCACUCCUGAAGCCAGCAAGACCACAAACCCACAGGGCGGGACAAACAACUCCGGACAGGAGGAAUGAACAACUCUGGACGCGCCACUUCUAUGAACUUUUAUGAACUGUAACACUCACCGCAAAGGUCUGCAGCUUCACCCCUGAGGCCAGGGAGACCACGAACCCACCGGAAGGAAUGAACAACUCCAGACGCACUGCCUUUAAGAGCUGUAACACUUACCACGGAUGUCUGCAGCUUCACUCCUGAAGUCAGCGAGACCACAAACCCAACAGAAGGAAGAAACUCCCGACACAUCUGAACAUCUGAAGGAACAAACUCUGGACACACCAUCUUUAAGAACUGUAACACUCACCGUGAGGGUCAACCGCUUCAUUCUUGAAGUCAGCCAGACCAAGAACCCACCAAUUCCGUCUAUCUGAAUCAUGUUAUUGGACCAUGAGAGCAAGCAGCUGGAUCUCAUUCUGUCCAGGGUUUCAUCAUUUUUGGCCAUGCUGGCCUUGAACGCCUAACCUCAAAUGAUCCACCUGCCUUGGCCUCCUGAAGUUCUGGGAGUUAUAGGCAUGAGUCACCAUGCCUGGCACCACAUAAAAUUAUUUUGUCAUUAACAUUACAUUUUAAAAUACAAACGCUGUUUUCCAUAUUACUCAGGUCAGAUCUUUUACCCCACUUCUCUCAGUGAGAUUGCAUUAUUUAUUUCCAUCUCUAUAAUCUACUGUUCAUCCAUCUAUCUAUCCAUCCCUCAAUUUAGUUUUUUCACUACAUUCUGCAUUUGAUUCUUUUGAGGGUGUAUGCUUGUGUUUGUGCGUGGAAGUGGGGGUGUGUGUGUGUGUGUGUGUUCAAAAAGGUCUACAGUUUCCUUUUUCUGUAAUAUCUGUGUCUGCUGUUGGUAUUAGGGUAAUGCUGAACUCAUAGAGUAUGUGAAAAGUUUUCUACAUUCUUUGAUUUUUCUGAAAGAAAUUGUGCAGAAUUCAUAUUAUUUCUUUCUUAAAUGCUCAAGUGUUUAUUAAAAUUUACCAGUAAAAUAUUAUGACCCUAGGGUUUUCUUUUUUGGAAGGUGUUUAACUAAAAUUUCAAUGUAUUUGAUAAAUGUAGGACUAUUAAAAUUAUCUAUUUUUCCUUGAGUUGGUUUGGUAGUUUCUGUCUGUCAAGGAAUUGGUCUGUUUUAUCUAAGUUGCCAAAUGUAUUGGCAUAAUUACCUUAUUGAUAUUUGUCAGCUUCUUUCACUCCUUAUAUUGACAUUUUAUUCUCUACUCUUUUCUUUAUCAGCAUGACAAAAGGUUUACCAAAUACAUUGAUAUUUUCAGAUAAUUGCCUUUUUUCAUUUCAUUUAUUGUUGCUAUUUCUACUUUUAUUUCUACUCUUAUACUUAGUAUUUCCUCAUUCAAUUUGUUUUGUAUUUAAUUUGCCACUUCUUAUGGAGGACAUUUAGAUUGCUAGAUUUUAGUUAGGUCAUGCUUUUGUUCUCAGCAGGCCUUAUGAUAGAAAUUUUUCUCUUUUCUGCUUUAGUCACAUCCAUACAUUUUUAUAUAUUGUAUUUUCACUUACAUUCAUUUGAACAUAUUUUAAAUAUAUCUGAGACUUAUUUUUUAACACGUGAGUUAUGUAAAUGUAUAUUAUUUUUCAUAUCUGGAGAUUUUUCAGGUAUCUUUUUUAUUCUAGUAUAACUGUUUUCUGGCUUACAAGCAUACUUUGCAUGAUUUUUAAUCUUUGAAAUUUGUUAAGAGUUAUUUUAUGGUAUAAAAUAUGAUCUACCAUGAUUAGUCUUUCUUGUGGAUUUGCAAAUAAUAUGUAUCUGCUAUUGAGUGGCCUUUUCUAUAAAUAUCAAUUUGACCAAGUUGUAUGAUAGAGCUGAUGGUUCAGAUCAUCUAUAACCAUCUAUAAUACCACUGACAUGC